UACGUAGGGUGCGAGCGUUGUCCGGAAUUAUUGGGCGUAAAGAGCUUGUAGGCGGUUUGUCGCGUCUGCUGUGAAAAUCCGGGGCUCAACUCCGGAUCUGCGGUGGGUACGGGCAGACUAGAGUGAUGUAGGGGAGACUGGAAUUCCUGGUGUAGCGGUGAAAUGCGCAGAUAUCAGGAGGAACACCGAUGGCGAAGGCAGGUCUCUGGGCAUUAACUGACGCUGAGGAGCGAAAGCAUGGGGGAGCGAACAGG
rnacentral:rRNA from 1 species